ACGGCUCACCAAGGUCGCANCCGNACGNGGUACCGUCNUGCAGAGGGUGACCGUGCCACACUGGGACUGAGACACGGCCCAGACUCCUCCGGGCAGGCAGCAGUGGGGAAUAUUGCACAAUGGGCGAAAGCCUGAUGCAGCGACGCCGCGUGCGGGAUGACGGCCUUCGGGUUGUAAACCGCUUUUGACAGGGACGAAGCGCAAGUGACUGUACCUGUAGAAUAAGGACCGGCCAACUACGUGCCAGCAGCCGCGGUAAUACGUAGGGUCCGAGCGUUGUCCGGAAUUACUGGGCGUAAAGAGCUUGUAGGCGGUUCGUCGCGUCGUUUGUGAAAACUUGGGGCUCAACCUUAAGCUUGCAGGCGAUACGGGCGGACUAGAGUACUUCAGGGGAGACUGGAAUUCCUGGUGUAGCGGUGAAAUGCGCAGAUAUCAGGAGGAACACCGGUGGCGAAGGCGGGUCUCAUGUGGAAGUAACUGACGCUGAGAAGCGCCACCACCGCCUGGGUAUCAAACAGGAUUAGAUACCCUGUUAGUUCACUGCCGUAAACGGUGGGUACNUCGGUGUGGGGUCUCCCUUCGACAGAGACUCCGUGCCGUAGCUANACGCAUUAAGUACCCCGCCUGGAAGAGGAGAUAUCG
rnacentral:rRNA from 1 species